AGUCGAACGAGAACGGGAUAAGGCUUGCCUUAUUUGUCAGCUAAGUGGCGCACGGGUGAGUAAUGUAUAGGUAAUGUGCCCUAGAGAGGGGGAUAAUUGAUGGAAACGUCUUGUAACACCCCAUAUGCCUUUAGAACAAAAGUUCGCAAGGGAAAUAUUUAUAGCUCUAGGAUCAGCCUGUAUGGUAUCAGUUAGUUGGUGGGGUAAUGGCCUACCAAGACUAUGACACCUAACUGGUUUGAGAGGAUGAUCAGUCACACUGGAACUGAGACACGGUCCAGACUCCUACGGGAGGCAGCAGUGGGGAAUAUUGCACAAUGGACGAAAGUCUGAUGCAGCAACGCCGCGUGGAGGAUGACACAUUUCGGUGCGUAAACUCCUUUUAUAUAAGAAGAUAAUGACGGUAUUAUAUGAAUAAGCACCGGCUAACUCCGUGCCAGCAGCCGCGGUAAUACGGGGGGUGCAAGCGUUACUCGGAAUCACUGGGCGUAAAGCGCAUGUAGGCGGACUUGUAAGUUGGAAGUGAAAUCCUAUGGCUCAACCAUAGAACUGCUUCCAAAACUGCUUGUCUAGAAUAUGGGAGAGGUAGAUGGAAUUUCUGG
rnacentral:rRNA from 1 species